UGUAAUUCUUGGUACCUCAUGGAGGCCCAGGACCUUGUUGAACAGACAAGAAAAGUAAUCUUCACACAGGCUGGGAGUGUUGCAGCAUCCUGAUCGAGUUUUGAGGACAACUGCCACCUUGAAUCAGAGGAGAAGCUUUCGGCAUUUGCAGCUGGCCUGGCAUCUGAGAAUCUGCAGGUUACUCUUACCAUGUACUAACAAUGGAUGAACCUGGUGUUUGGAAGAUAUGAGAGAGAACUGAGAGCCUUGGUUGCUAAAGAACUUCCUCAAAUUGCAUCCUUUGUCAUCUCUGGUCUGCACACAAAGUGGGCUGGUGCUUGAGUGGAAAGCAUUCAGUUUGCAGAGAACAGUGUGGACACACACACACGCACACAGAGAGAGAGAGAGAGAGAGAGGAGAGAGAGAGAGAGACGUGAGCAAGCUUGGGAUCCUGGAAACUGCAGAGUGUGAGACUGUGGGGCUCACAGUGGAAGAAGAGAUGUUACUAGAAAGGGGGCAUGAGAAGAAGAAACAGUAAAUUUGAAUGGUAUGCAAACACCUUUAAAAUAAAAACAAAAGAAAAAGAGAAAAAUAUCUGUGAGAAACAAAUGAUCGAGCUGUACUCAGAAGCCUUCAAAAAACCAAGUGCUAGGUAAUCCAAACCUUGCCUUAUGCAUGCUGGGCAAGUGCAUUAACACUGUGCUACACCCCCAACCCUGCUACGAAUUCUUUAGACUUCACUCUCCUACUGAAGUGGGUUCAAAGCCAUGGCUGCUGCCUGGGGAAGACCUGACUCUGGGAACUUUUGUCUCGGUGGCUGGCAGCCACAGUUCACGAGCCAAGUCUGGAAUGGUUGCUUGAGUUCAUACUGCUACAGGGCCAAGGACGGUUGUUGCAUUUUGAAAAGAGCGAAAACACCAAGCCAACACUUCUCCACAAGGAGAAUGAAAUCGAGGGUCCGUGUCGGGGAGCUGGAAGGCAGCCGUAGCGCAGGUCACUGUCCAGUUGCACACAGCUGCUGCCCACUGCAGCAGCAGAGUGGAGCAGGAGCAGCUGAUUCUCCCACCUCUCCGCCCUGUCUGCGCAUCAUACACAUUGCUCUGGCCCUUGUCCAGUUGCAUCACGAAUCCAUGAGGAUGCACCUCACUGCUCUCACAGAUCAGAGCCCUCGAGGGUGCCAAACAUCUGCCACUCAUCUCGAUGUUCUCAACCCAGCACAGUUCUGGACCCAAAACAUCAUUGACAAAGAGGUUGUCAAACUGAAUGUACUUCCACCAAGUCUCCUUUCCCAUAC
ensembl:lncRNA